AACUUAGGACACACACCAUGGGCUCAUUCAAAUGGCUUUUUUUUAUGUCUUCUCAAUCCUCACCUGACCUUGAAACCGAUAAAAGUCCACCAUUUCAAAGGACAUUCCAACUUGUUAAAUGCUCCUUGAAGGAGCUAGGAGCAAGUAGGCUCCUCCUGAAGGAUGCUUGAGUAAGGAAACUGAAGUGCAUUCAUUCUUUAAAGUGGUCAUAGGCAUUUCCAAAAUAUGUGUUCUGAGUCUCAAAUGCAUUAUGAUUGGUCAGUGGAUCAAUGAUGUCACAUUCCAAAAAUAUGUUAGAGCUUUCAAUAUGUGAUAUUAUCAAAAAUGCUUAGAAUAACACCAUAUAUGGUUGCACUGUUCUUCCAAGAAUGCAAUCUGGGAUUUAAUUCUGGGAUACUUCCAAGAUCCGUUGCCAUGUAUUUUGCUUGGAAGGAUGAAACAUCUUUAGAAUACUUCCAAGCUUGCAUAUCCAAUCAAAAAAUUACAUUGCUAUCCCUAACCAUAAUUCUAAUUCUAACCGUAAAUCCUAUUUUUACCCCUCAUCUUAAAUAUUAGAUUUUUCUAUUAAUAUGAAUCACAAACAAAAUAAAAUCAGUUCAAUGAAAUUCAUACAAGGCAAUGUGUUUGAAGGAAUUCAUGACAAUUGUACUUCCCUGAAAAAAAUGUCAAAAUAGAUAAGGAUAUUGUUCUAUGUCUCAAAAGUGAAAUUAUGUGACUCAUUCAAAAUCAUAGAAUAACCCUAGCACUAACUCUGACCGUACCACGUAAGUAUAGGCUUUAUUUAGCCUCAACCAACGGUUGUGAUAGAAUUACACAAAAACACACAUUCUUCAUAAUGUUAACUCUUCCUACAAAAGUUUAAGCCAGUCAGGGAAGGAUUACAUUAUAGCAAUGCAAGCACCCAUCAAAGAAACAAAGGAACACUAAUUACCUUGGAUGACCACUACAACAGGUUGAGAUCAAGGAACAUUGGCAUUUGCCCUACCAUGUAACAUUCGGAAUGCUUGUUUUAGGUGAUGUGCAAAAUUCUAGGUAAGGAUGUUUGUAUGUUUGGCUGUCCAUUCUGUCAUGUGCUUGUACUGAUGCGGAUGUAGUUGGGUGCAUUCAUUUUUCUUUAACAUGAAUAGCCAUUAGUGCGGUGAUUGUUUAUGAAGAUGUUGAGAAGGCGACGUGGACCAUGUUAGGUAAGUGUCGCAUGGACUGGGAAAGAUAUAUUUCUCCCUAUAACUGUCGAUGGUACCACAAUGACUGCCUCUCAAUCUGCAAAGAGCCUGGGGGUGGUCCUAGGAGACCAGCUGGACGUCCAGGAGCACAUCACGGUCCUGCAGAUUCCUCCGGUACAUCAGGAGGAUUUGACAAUGCCUGACCACGUACUCCACCCAGCUACUCGUCCAGGUCCAGGCCAUGUUGGAAACACAAUGGAUCCCCCUGCCUGGACCUCAUAUGGGUCACUCAAUGUUUCUGGUGGUUUGAGUAAGUAAAACAUCCAUGGGGGGGUCUCUCCCAUGAUGAAAAAACCUUUCUUGGUUUCUCUUGUAGUUUCCUGUAGUGUUUGAUGCCCUGAAGUUCCUGGGCUGCUACUGUGCAUUUUCUGUAGUGUUCUUGAUCGAUUAGUUAUCCCUUUGCCUCCUCUAUGUACUGUGAUCUUCCCGCAACACAACACUCCCAUUGUCUGUUGGUUUUGUUUGUUGUUUGGCAGUUGCUAUAGUGCUUGCUUGUCAUCUACUGUUUGUGUGUUUUUAACCUUUAAGUUUGAGGAUUUAAUGUUUUCUUGUUCUUCUGUGCUGUCGGAUGAUGUCCACCAAUUCCCUGGGUAUCUUGUUUGGGUUCCCAGUUGGAUCUAGGUGUGAAUGGUGUGUGUAGUUUUGCUUCUGUUCUUUUGAAGAAUACUGAAAAUUUUACUAUCAGGCAAACAAUGUAAUAUCAGGCCAUAAGGGCUUUAUAAAUUUGGCAUUGCCAAAUAUGUGUGCUCAUAUAUGCCCCAUGCUGUUGAUUCGGGGAGUGUAGACAAUUUGUGGUUCUCCUCUGAAACAUGCAGCGUCACCCAGCUGGUUUUAUUCACACCACAGCCACAAGCUGCACACACAGAGCAGAGGUGGAGGAGACCCAAUCAUAUGCCUGUGCAGAGAGCAAGUCACAGUCACCAGGACAGCCAACAAGGUUGCUUUGAGCAAUGAACAGCACUGUCCAUGGUGACUGAAUCCCUUCCAUAUAUCCCUCGGGUGGUGCGAAGCGGAUUCCAAAGGUCCUGUGGAGCUGGCAGCCCCAGUCAUCACUGACAUGGGUCAGAUUCUAUCUGAGAUUGUGUACCAUGGACAUUUUGUGUCCAAUAAGGCCACCAUACUCUGCUAGACCUCUCUUCAGGUGGGUUACCGUUGCUUCUAGUGAGGUCAGAGCAGAACUUUCCGUUACCAUUUACAGCCACAUGACACAUCAAGUGUUAAAGCAGUAUUAUGACAGUUGACGGUUCAAUCUAGGUUAUUUUUCGCAUUUGCACAUUGCAUUUGUUAACCAAAGGAGGUGUUUGUGCCACUUUGAGAUAUCUGAGAAUGACACUUUGAAAAGAGAUGCUAUGAAUAUAAAAGACCAGAUAAAGUUGACACCUCUGUAGCUAAUUUAUAAUUUCCAGCUUUCUCGAUGGAAGACUGAAGAUGUACCACUUUAUUUUAUUAAAUAAGACAACACAGCUAUAGGGAAAGGAGAUUGGCAGAUUUUGUUUUCUGUAUUGGUGGAAUUCAGUUGUUUUUGGCUCUGCUUGCCAACAUUUGGGAUGUACAGAAUUAAUUAUGUUGAUUAGUGUGACAGGAAAGUUCCCUGGAAAAA